AAGUCGUAACAAGGUUUCCGUAGGUGAACCUGCGGAAGGAUCAUUAACACGUAUCCAAACAUCCUGCUCUUGUAACCCGCGUAGUUCGCAAUCUCUGGUAAAUCAUAGCCCGGAAAGUAGUUUUGAUUCAGAGACCUCUGGCUACGUGAGAACAUUGGAACAGUUACAAUCGAGCGGUAGUUUCAUAGGCAUUGUUUCCCCAAGCAGUUAGUGUCUGAAAGUGUCACUGAUUGUGCAAGGAUAGCGCUUCAACGAUUCCUGUAGACCGUACACUCGGGCAGGAGCUAUGCCAAAGGGUCCCCAUGCCCCCUUAUAACCCCACAGUUUAAUGUGAAGCUCAAUGUAAUACAUUGGGUAAAAAAACCGAACAACUGUUAACAAUGGAUAUCUUGGUUCUC
rnacentral:misc_RNA from 1 species